rnacentral:rRNA from 1 species
ACACAUGCAAGUCGAACGGAGAUUACGGACGGAAGUUUUCGGAUGGAAGACUGUAAUUCUUAGUGGCGGACGGGUGAGUAACGCGUGGGCAACCUGCCCUAUACAGGGGGAUAGCAGCUGGAAACGGCUGGUAAGACCGCAUAAGUCGGUUAAAUCGCAUGAUUUGAUCGGGAAAUGAGCAAUCAGGUAUAGGAUGGGCCCGCGUCCGAUUAGCCAGUUGGCAGGGUAAAAGCCUACCAAAGCAACGAUCGGUAGCCGGACUGAGAGGUCGGACGGCCACAUUGGGACUGAGACACGGCCCAAACUCCUACGGGAGGCAGCAGUGGGGGAUAUUGCACAAUGGAGGAAACUCUGAUGCAGCGACGCCGCGUGAGUGAAGAAGUAUUUCGGUAUGUAAAGCUCUAUCAGCAGGGAAGAUGAUGACGGUACCUGACUAAGAAGCCCCGGCUAACUACGUGCCAGCAGCCGCGGUAAUACGUAGGGGGCAAGCGUUAUCCGGAUUUACUGGGUGUAAAGGGAGCGCAGGCGGUUUGGCAAGUUGAGAGUGGAAGCAGGGGGCUCAACCCCCUGACUGCUCCCAAAACUGUUAAACUUGAGUAUGGGAGAGGCGGGCGGAAUUCCUAGUGUAGCGGUGAAAUGCUUAGAUAUUAGGAAGAACACCGGUGGCGAAGGCGGCCUGCUGGACCAAAACUGACGCUGAGGCUCGAAAGCGUGGGUAGCAAACAGGAUUAGAUACCCUGGUAGUCCACGCUGUAAACGAUGAAUACUAGGUGCUGGGAGGCAUAAGCCUUUCGGUGCCGUCGC